rnacentral:rRNA from 1 species
UACGAAGGGGGCUAGCGUUGCUCGGAAUCACUGGGCGUAAAGGGUGCGUAGGCGGGUCUUUAAGUCAGGGGUGAAAUCCUGGAGCUCAACUCCAGAACUGCCUUUGAUACUGAGGAUCUUGAGUUCGGGAGAGGUGAGUGGAACUGCGAGUGUAGAGGUGAAAUUCGUAGAUAUUCGCAAGAACACCAGUGGCGAAGGCGGCCAACUGGUCCGGUACUGACGCUGAGGUGCGAAAGCGUGGGGAGCAAACAGGG